CCUCCUAUCUUGUAUCCUUGUAUAUAUCCUUUCCUUGAGUCCUUGUACAGUCCCAUCCUUGUGUGUGUUCUUGUGUCCUGUACAUAAGUGUGAAGUUUGUUCAAGAAUUCAUAUCAGAGAGAAGAAAGCUUCUACAAGCUAUCUCUACCAUCUAUAUAUACUGUCUCUGUAUUUCUUCACCCUGUAAGUUCUUCAUGUUUGUGUGUUCUUCAUCUGUAUAUAUCCAUGCAUGAGUUUGUUUUAAUGAAGUCUUCGUUACUUUAUUUCUUCAUUUCUUUGUUUAUUUCUUUGUGUUACUUUGUUUAAAUAUUAUUUUAAAUACUACUUACUUUUUAUCUUCUUCAUCAUCGCAUGCAUCCUGCAUUCAUAAAUACUAUUUAUUACUAUUCAUUACUAUUUGUAGAAUUACUAUUUCGUAAAAUAAUAUUUGUAUAGUAGAAGUACCAUUUGCAUCCAUACUUCUUUAUACCGUUUCACGUUUUCAUCAUCCACCUGCAUGCAUGAUUUCAAAACUACUAUUUAAAAAAAAAAACUAUUGCAUUACUAUUUGCAUACUAUUCUAAAAAAAAUUAUAAAAUAUAAAAAUAUAAAAAUAUAAAAAGUUAUAGUAAAUAGGUAACUUGCAUGAAGUAGGUAACUCGCAUAUUCAAAAAUAUAUAAAAAAUUAAAAAACCAAAAAUCACAUAAAAAAUUAAAAAUUAAAAAUCAUAUAUAAGUAAAAACUCACUAAAAGUAUAUAAAAAAUUAAAAAUUAAAAAUAAAAAAAAACUAACCUAUAGGUAACUUAACUAGUAAGUCACCUAGCUAACCUUAGGAAGCCUUAGUAUCACCCUCAGGUAACCCAUAGCAUCAUCUUUAGAAAGCCCUUAGGUUCCUUAACCUAUAAGCAAUCUUAAGGACAACCUGUAGAGUGUUCACCCUGUUCACCCCAUAGUAAAUCCACCCAUAGUGUCCAUCCAUAGUAGUGUCCACUUCGUGUCCAACCUUAGGUAUCGACCAACCCUAAAGUCCAACCUGUGUCCAGCUUUAAGUGUCCACCCUUAGUGUCCAACCAGUGUCCAUAUCUUAGUGUUGUCCAACCAGUGUCCAACCCAUAGGUAUCACCCAUAGUGUCUGAGUCUAGAGACCAACCCUAGGUUCCACUAGUCCAACCUUUAGGAGACCCACAGUUCGGUGUCUACCUAGUAAUGUGUCCAUAGUCCACCCUGUAGAGUGUCCAUCCUAACCAUUAGAAGUGUCUAGAGUGUCCACCCUGUAGAGUGUCUAGAGUAUUUAGGAUCCACUAAUCCUUAGUCAGUCCACUAACCCUUAGUGAGUCUUAGAGAGUCUUGAAGUCUAGAUUGUAUAUUAGAAGAGUUAUAUAAUGUCUAGAGUCCAGUCUAGUUUUAAAGAGUCUUAGAGUCUAGGUUUAGACAGUUUGAUUUCACUGAACUGUGUGCUAUAGCUAUAUCAUAAAAGAUUGUGGCUGUGAAGGUUCCUGAGCUAUAGUCUUUAAUGGUAUUAGCUUAUAGUUCAUAGUUAGUCUGUAAUGUUAGUGAUAUCUUGGCGGGCCUUACUCUCUGUUAUCUUAAAGUAAGUAAAAUAUUACUUAUAGGUUCCAGCACAUAAAUCUUAGGAUUAGAGUUAGGUGUCUGAGUACCUUAGGAAGGUUUAAUCUAUAGUCUAUUAGUAGUAUCUUGGCAGACCUCACUCUAUGAGGAAGAUUCUACUCUUAGAUUUCAUCUUAUAAAUCCUAGGUUAGGAGUCAAGCCAUAGAAAGACUCUGAUUUGUGGUCUGUUAGUGGUAUCUUGGCGGGCCUCACUCUCUGAGUGAGCAAGAUCCUGCUCAUAGAUCUUAUCAUAUAAAUCCUAUUGGUUAAAAAUACUACGGUUCUUCCCUUAAUCGGGAAGCUCCCUCAGAGUAGAUCCUUAGGCGCCCACGAUAUCAGAGCUCAUGUCAUAUAAGCCUUGAUACUCGUCAGGUCUUGUUGGUAUCAGAGCCUAUGCUUUGAUACUUACAUGCCUACUUGUUGGUACCGUCGGGUCUUGUUGGUAUUGUCGGGUCGUUUUGGUACUAGAGCCCGAGGAGGGAGAUCCUUUUCCCCUAAUGGUUCAUUCAGAGCCCAGGGAGGAAGAUGUAGUAUGAUUCAUAAGUUUUUAAUUUUUUUAUUAGAGUCAGAUCUUUUUCUCUACCAUAGGUUGAUAACAGAAUUCGGAGAGAGAGAAGUAGUUUAGAAAGAUCGAUGUUUGAUGAGAAGUAAGGGCAUCGAAUAAGAUUAUUUAGGCUUGGUCUGAGGAGCAGUAUCAAAAAACCUAGGCUUGAUCUAGAGAGAGAGAAGCUAGAUAUUUUGAUAAGAACAUGGAUUAAUGAGCAAUAGGAGCAUCAAUUAAGAUUAUCUAGACUUGGUCCGAGGAGUAUAAGGGUUGUAUAACUGGUGGAUGGUUUGAUGACGGAGACUCGAAUGUACCUUCGGAUGUAGGAUUACUUCAAAGCAUGCCAUUAUUGACGAAAGUCAGGAAGAGCUGCUACAGAUGCAGACAGUAAAGACCACAAAGAAGACCAUCUUUGACACCUAAAUUGGGUAUCUGUCUUAAGCUUGAAGUUUCAGAUCUUCUUGUGUUAAGUCUCCUAAGAUAGGUAUCUUUUCUUGACCGCUUACUAAAAUCAUUCUGUUAAAUCUGCUAAGAUAAGUGUCUUUUCUUGAUCUUCCUUUACUAACUCUUUCCAUCCUUGAAAUUGUUAUCAUGAAGUGGUAGCAAGGAUCUAGUAAAGAGUCUUUUGAGUAUUCUUUUAUCUUUUACUAAUUCUUUCCUUUUUUAGGCAUUCUUUUAUACUUGAGUCUUUUAGGUAUUUUUCCAUACUAAUAAGAGUCUAACAUCUUGUAAAAUCUAAAAAUAUAAGUGUUUUCUUUUUUUAUACAAUUUUUUUUUUAUUAUUUGUCCCUAACUGUGUAAACAACUAGGAACCUUAUAUAUUCUUUUCAUUCUUUGUAGUUGCGUAAGCAACUAGAAAUUCAAUCUUUUAUUCUUUUACUUAGGAAAUUCCUAAGUAUAUUCUUUAUUCUUUCAUUCUUUCAUAUCUAAACUACUAAGAUAGCUAGGUAUCUAACCUUUCUUUAGAUAAUAAUUCUUUAUAAAGAUAAUAAAUAAACUAACAUACCUUCCUAUAAAAGAUGAAUUCGUAUCCCGAUUUGUAUCUAGAAGAUAGUUUAGACUAUCGAGAUGAUGAUCAAAAUGACACCCAAUCUCUCUAUUCUGAAUCUGAUAAUAAGAAUGAAAACCAAGAUUAUUAUUCUCAAUAUCUGUCAUUCUCAUAUCCUGAAUCUAAGAUAAGUCCUAUGCCAAUCUCCAAAAUUAAACCCAAUUCAUUAAACCUAAAGCCAAAUUCUCAAAGCAAAUUCUUAUCCCACUCUAGUAGAGAUAAUUCUUAAUGUAAAGAAUUAUUUAAUGAAGACUUUUUUGUGAAGCAUAAUGAACAUAAAAAACAACAGUUUCUUAGAACUUAUAAUAUAACUCAAACAGUAGAAAUCCAAUCUAGAUACUUUACCUUCAUAAAAUCAUACUAGACUUCUAUCAAAUUCUUUGAUUGGUUUGAAAGAUAUGAUUUAGGACAAUCUAGGACAAAACCUAAAGCUAGUGAUAAACCAAUUUCUAAAGUUGAAACAAAUUUGCCAAAUUUAGGAUUAAUUGCUCAAAACAAACAUAAUUCUGAAAUCAUAAAAAAAGAUAAUGGUUGUAAAUGUCCAAAUAAGAAAAUAACAAUCUAUCUAGAGAAAGGCAAAAAAGUUAUUGAAUAUCUUUGUUCAUGCCUUCAGAAUAAUAAUAAAGAUGAAAAAUCUCAACCUAAGAAUUCCUCUUCAAAAAUAAAUGAUAUAACUUACCAAGAUUCUAAAGAAAUAAAAACAUUUCAUUCUGAAAUCCUAGAAGUACCUCAAAUCCAAUAAUCUUUAGAAGAUGAAAACUCAAUAAAUGAAAGUCAGAAAAAGAAAAAUGAAAUUACAAUCCAUUCUAAAAAUCUACAAGUAGAAACACCUGAAGAACCCAAAAUCCUUGAGCCUAAAAAUGAAAAAGAUCAUCUAGAAAGAGUCAACUUUUUGAAAGAAACCAAUCCUAUCCAGAAAGAAAUUCCAGAGUUGGUGCUGGGCAAUAAUCCUUCUGGUAACCUUACAGAUGUUAACACCCUAGCUCAUUCAGGAUCUUUACCAGGAAAUAACUUUCAAAAAAUUGAAAAUAUCUAAGUUCUUUCUGAAUCAAGACCUAUAUGCCAAAAUCUAGAAUUAUACCCAGCUAAAGUCUAUAAUAAAAACUCACAAAAAUUCUGGCCAUACUUACCAUGAAAAAUACCAAAAAAUUUAGAAAUCCUAAUAAAACUACCUUUGAAUCUUAGAACUUCUAAGUUAGAAUUUCAAGAAUUUGUUGUAUCUCAAAAUGUGCUUAUCUUCCAUACUAAAACACCCCCUUAUUCUAAUAUCUAUGAUAAAAUAAAAGAAUCUAACAAACUUUUAAAGCUCCUCUCACUUAAAGAAAGUAAUAAAAAAAUUCUUAAUUAUGAUUCCAACCAAAACCUCUUAGUAAAAGAAAAAGUUAAGUUUGAAGUCAGAAUCUAAUAAUUAAAUAGAUUUUUGUGGAAACCUCAAUCAUUAACUAGAUCUUUGAAAAAAUUUAAAAGAGAAAGCUUAGCGCUAAAACAUAAAGAUCUUUGGCCUGUAAGGUAUAAAAGUCUUUUGUUUAUCCUAAAUCCCUUUAAUAUCCUUCAAAAGAAAUUUAGUUAUAAAACACCCAUACUCCCAUGUCCUCAAAAUCCAAGUACUUUGGCAUUAGAAUGUAAACAAAAUUCCACACCAAAGAAAAGUUAUUCAAAAAACAUCAAAUCUAGGCUCAAAAGAAAAAAGAAGAAUUUUAACUUUCAUAAUCCUUCUAAAAUCAAACCAUCUCUAAAUAUGAAUAAGAAAAGAAAAAUUAUACAAAAAAGAGAGACCUCCAAAUUCUUUAAAGAGACAGAGUUGCUCAGCGCACAGAUAACUUUCAAAUUCCAACCCCAUCUAAUUAUGGACUAAAAACUAUAGAUGAUAGUACAAAUCAAAUGACUUGUUAUUCUGUUAAGCAACAAUGAUUAGAAUUUUGAAAUAAAGUACAAAGAAUAUUACAUUUUGAAAUUCAAAAUAUUAUUCUUAACAAAAUUCUUCAACCAGAUGAAAUCAAAAAAAAUACUUGAAAAUCUUAGUGAAUAUCCUAUGAUAGAUUGGUGCUGGCCAAAGUUAAGUGUUCCAAAUAUAAAUAUGAAUCCUUCUGGCAUUAUUAUUAGAUCUUUAUAUAAAAGAUUAGUUAGACUAGCCUCUAUAGACUACAACUAUUCUUUAGACAUGUUUUCAAAAUUAGUUUCUACCAUCUUAAAAGAACUCAGAGAUGAUAAAGAAAAAAUAGAUAUGCUAAUCUAUAGUGAAAUUGAAGAAAAAAAUUAACUAAAAUUAUUUAUCUUUUUCAAAUUUAUUAUCUCACAUACACUUAAUUUUCAGAUAAAGAUGGCAUCUUAAAAGAUAAACUUAUAGAGAAAUUUGAUAUAGAAGACUAUAUCUUAGUUAAUUAUAUUGAUGUUUAUUGAGAAGCUGCAAGAUCAUCUCAAAAUUAUAGAUAUUGGUCAGAUGAUAGAAUAUGGGUUAUAACUGAUUUAGCAAAUCAAUCUAAUAUUUUACUAAAAAAGAAAGGAAAUUGGGACAUCCUUUUAAACCCAAAAAAUUAUCCCAAUCAAAUUCAAAAUAAAGUGCAAAAUAUUUUUGGAAUAACUAUACCAUAUUCAAAUUCAUUACAUAAGUGGUAAAAUAUAUAUAUUUUCUGCAUUUCAUAAGUUCAUCCUCCAUUUCUUUCGCUCAUCUGUUCUCUACCUAUCCUGGAUAAGUAGAGGAAUAAAGAAAAAAGAUUUCAUUUGAGAGUAUCCAAAAUGUAUCCAUAAAAUUUUAAACCACUAUCAGACAAUGACCUUCUGCCAUCAUUCAAAACUAAAACAGUACCAGAAAAGAAGAGAAAAAAUAUUAUGCUUCCUUCUUCCAAGAUGAUUAAUUCAAAACUUAGGAUCAAACAAUGGCUCUCUGUUAUCAGAGAAUCCAAAGAAACAGAAAAAGCAAAAUGUGACCCUCCAUCAAUCAAUUUAACUCAGAUAUCAACAAGCAGCCAUAAACAACCAUCACCAGAAGAUAAUGACUUGACUCCCCAUCAACCAUUCAAAAGAUUCAAACUCUGAAGUAUUCAAGCUCGAAUGAAAGGAUCCAAAGAGAAUCCAAAGAUGUCUUAUAAAAAUAGAUAUGAAUCUCUUCCUCCACAUCUCCUCUCAUUCUUCACAUCCUAUUUCCUACCAAACAAAUAUCUCCAAAUGCCAUCUCGGGGGAAUCACCGAAGACAUUCUCAUUGGCACCAUCCUCAUUGCCACCAUCACCAUCAUUCUCAACGACACCUUUGCCAUUCUCCUCAUCAAAGACUUCAUUUUUGCUCUUCAGUCACUAUCCAAAUUCUAAUGACCAAUCCACAUCACCAUAUCACUAUUCAUGUAUCAUCAUCAUCAUCAAGCAAUUCUUUUCAAUCUCAAGAACAUCAUUCAAGAUAUACUCCUCCACUUGCCCGAACUCCACCAGUUCGACAACAAAACCAUUCAGAGAAUCAGCAUUCAGCAACCAAUUCUCCUGUUCACCAGCAACAACAUCAUUCACCAGAAGUUCAAUAUUCAACAAUCCAUCAAUAGCUAGCACCAUCCAUUCCUCUAAUUUCUUCUGAAUUUGAAGAUGUGUAUAGAGACAGGCCAGGAUGUAGAAGAAGCACACCACCACUACAGCAGUCAAAGCAAUCAAAUGCCAGCUCAUUAUCCAGUCCUAAGACUCCAAUGUCCAAAAGACAGCACAUAUGGACCGAUGAUAUCUACUCACCAACAUCAAGUGAAAUUCAGAAGCAAGUUUUCAAAAAGAAAAAGAAAUAGCCAAAUAGGAAGACAAGCUCAAUUAUUUUUCAUAAAAAUCUACAAUAAUAUGGUCCCCCUACCUCACUCUUUGCCUACAAGAAAACAGCCAAAAAAAGAUGCUCCAUCGAUAAAGUUGCUUUAUCACCAAGAAAGUUGCCUUACUUCACCAAUAAGAAAUUAAUAUGCUUUAUCCCCAAGAUGUUUCACCAACAACAGCCAGAUGCUUCUCCAGCAAAAUUGUUUCAAGUCACCUCAUCACCGACAGAGUUGCUUCACCACCAAGAAAGUUAGCUACUUGUUAACUACUUAGCCAGUAAGUUACUUUAGCAUAAAAUAGAUUCGCCAGGCAAGCAAGAUGACUUUACUUCAGCAUCAAGUUGCUUCAGCGCCAAGCACUUCAAGCCCAAGCAAGAUGCUCACCCCCAGCUUCUAUAAGAAGACCCCCAAUACCAGCAUUAAAGAACAAGCCCUGACAAAUCUUGACAUAAGUCUUGGUAGAGUUUCACGAGCAAUUCUGAAGCCAGUGGCUUUCUUGGAGAGCUUAUUGAAGAUCAUAUGCCAGGUAGAAGUUACAAGCCAGAGAGGAAGUGUUUCACUAAAUAAUUCUUCUUUCUCCUCCUAUCUUGUACCUUUGUAUAUAUCCUUCCCUUGAGUCCUUAUACAGUCCCAUCCUUGUGUGUGUUUUUUAGUCCUGUAUAUAAGUGUGAAGUUCGUUCAAGAGUCCGUGUCGGAGAGAAGCAAGCUUCUACAAACUAUCUCCACCUUCUGUAUAUACUGUCUCUGUGUUUCUUCACCCUGUAAGUUCUUCAUGUUCGUGUGUUCUUCAUCGGUACAUAUCCAUGCAUGAGUUUGUUUUAAUGAAGUCUUAGUUACUUCAUUUCUUCGUUUCUUUAUUUGUUUCUGUGUUACUUUGUUUAAAUAUUAUUUUAAAUACUGCUUACUUCUCAUUUUCUUCAACGUCGCAUGCAUCUUGCAUUCAUAAAUAUUAUUCAUUACUAUUUACGAAAUUACUAUUUCACAAAAUACUAUUUGCAUAAUAGAAGUACUAUUUACAUUCAUACUUCUUCAGAUCCUUCCAUAUUUUCAUCAUCCACCUGCAUGCAUGAUUUCAAAACCACUAUUUUAAAAAACUAUUGCAUUACUAUUUGCAUACUAUUUUUAAAAAAAAUUAUAAAAAUAAAAAUUAUAAAAAUAUAAAAAGUUAUAGUAAAUAGAUAACUUGAAUGAAGUAAGUAGGUAACUCGCAUA
rnacentral:lncRNA from 1 species